UGGGGAAUUUUGGACAAUGGGGGAAACCCUGAUCCAGCCAUGCCGCGUGAGUGAAGAAGGCCUUCGGGUUGUAAAGCUCUUUCGGACAGAAAGAAAUCGGUCGGGUGAAUAAUCCGGCUGGAUGACGGUACUGUAAGAAGAAGCACCGGCUAACUACGUGCCAGCAGCCGCGGUAAUACGUCGGGUGCGAGCGUUAAUCGGAAUUACUGGGUGUAAAGCGUGCGCAGGCGGUUUUGUAAGACAGCUGUGAAAUCCCCGGGCUCAACCUGGGAACUGCGGUUGUGACUGCAAGACUGGAGUACGG
rnacentral:rRNA from 1 species